rnacentral:rRNA from 1 species
CAGCCGCGGUAAUUCCAGCUCCAAUAGCGUAUAUUAAAGUUGUUGCAGUUAAAAAGCUCGUAGUUGAAUUUCGGGAUCAAUAUGUCGGUCGUGCCUUCGGUACGCACUGGUAUCAUUGGUUUCUCCUUUCUGACGAACCAUGAUGUCAUUAAUUUGGUGUUAUGGGGAGUUAGGACUGUUACUUUGAAAAAAUUAGAGUGUUUAAAGCAGGCUUUAGCUUGAAUACAUUAGCAUGGAAUAAUGAAAUAGGACGUUCGAACCUAUUUUGUUGGUUUCUAGGAUCAACGUAAUGAUUAAUAGGGAUAGUUGGGGGCAUUAGUAUUCAAUUGUCAGAGGUGAAAUUCUUGGAUUUAUUGAAGACUAACUACUGCGAAAGCAUUUGCCAAGGAUGUUUCAUUAAUCAAGAACGAAGUUAGGGGAUCGAAGACGAUCAGAUACCGUCGUAGUCUUAACCAUAAACUAUGCCGACUAGGAUCGGAUGAUGUUAAUUUAUAAUGACUCAUUUGGCACCUUACGGGAAAC